rnacentral:lncRNA from 1 species
UUAAUUUCAUGAUUUUUAGAGCCCAUUUGAAUUUAUGUGAUUAUUUAUCUGUGCUUGUCGUCUGUGUCGGUCGUCGCGUAUUUUAGCUGACGGAGUGAACGAGCCGGAGAACGAGAACGUUGGAGACGAGUACCGCGAGUUUGACGCCGAGGACCCGGACUGUCAGCAAGAGUUUGCUGAGGACGCCGACGGAGGCAAGUCCAACCGAUCCCCUUUGAUGCAUAUUGAUCCUAUUUUUAAACACAACCCAUAGAAGUCGUUUUAAAUAUUGCAUGUACCAUAUAUGUACGAAGUAUUUUCGCUGCUUAGGCCCUGUUUAGUUCUCCACCCA